UGGGGAAUAUUGGGCAAUGGGCGAAAGCCUGACCCAGCAACGCCGCGUGAAGGAAGAAGGUUUUCGGAUCGUAAACUUCUAUCCUUGGUGAAGAUAAUGACGGUAGCCAAGAAGGAAGCCCCGGCUAACUACGUGCCAGCAGCCGCGGGAAUACGUAGGGGGCAAGCGUGGUCCGGAAUGAUUGGGCGUAAAGGGCGCGUAGGCGGCCUGGUAAGUCUGGAGUGAAAGUCCUGCUUUUAAGGUGGGAAUUGCUUUGGAUACUGCCGGGCUUGAGUGCAGGAGAGGUAAGUGGAAUUCCCGGUGUAGCGGUGAAAUGCGUAGAGAUCGGGAGGAACACCAGUGGCGAAGGCGACUUACUGGACUGUAACUGACGCUGAGGCGCGAAAGUGUGGGGAGCAAACA
rnacentral:rRNA from 1 species